GAUGAACGCUGGCGGCGUGCCUAAUACAUGCAAGUCGAGCGAACAGACGAGGAGCUUGCUCCUCUGACGUUAGCGGCGGACGGGUGAGUAACACGUGGAUAACCUACCUAUAAGACUGGGAUAACUUCGGGAAACCUGAGCUAAUACCGGAUAAUAUAUUGAACCGCAUGGUUCAAUAGUGAAAGACGGUUUUGCUGUCACUUAUAGAUGGAUCCGCGCCGCAUUAGCUAGUUGGUAAGGUAACGGCUUACCAAGGCGACGAUGCGUAGCCGACCUGAGAGGGUGACCGGCCACACUGGAACUGAGACACGGUCCAGACUCCUACGGGAGGCAGCAGUAGGGAAUCUUCCGCAAUGGGCGAAAGCCUGACGGAGCAACGCCGCGUGAGUGAUGAAGGUCUUCGGAUCGUAAAACUCUGUUAUUAGGGAAGAACAAAUGUGUAAGUAACUAUGCACGUCUUGACGGUACCUAAUCAGAAAGCCACGGCUAACUACGUG
rnacentral:rRNA from 1 species